UGAGGAAUAUUGGACAAUGGGCGAGAGCCUGAUCCAGCCAUGCCGCGUGCAGGAAGACUCCCCUAUGGGUUGUAAACUGCUUUUAUACGGGAAGAAACACUCCCUCGUGAGGGGGCUUGACGGUACCGUAUGAAUAAGGAUCGGCUAACUCCGUGCCAGCAGCCGCGGUAAUACGGAGGAUCCGAGCGUUAUCCGGAAUUAUUGGGUUUAAAGGGUCCGUAGGCGGGAGGAUCAGUCAGUGGUGAAAGUCUGUGGCUCAACCAUAGAAUUGCCGUUGAAACUGUUUUCCUUGAGUCAUUAUGAAGUGGUUAGAAUAUGUAGUGUAGCGGUGAAAUGCAUAGAUAUUACAUGGAAUACCAAUUGCGUAGGCAGAUCACUAAUAAUGUACUGACGCUGAGGGACGAAAGCGUAGGUAGCGAACAGGAUUAGAUACCCUGGUAGUCUACGCCGUAAACGAUGGUUACUAGCUGUUUGUCCGA
rnacentral:rRNA from 1 species